CAGAAUUCGGCGCCCCGACCGGGACUAGAACCUGGUGUGCCGGCGCCACUAGGCGGAGGAUUAGCCUAGUGAGCCGCAGCGCCGGCCUAACUGUGCCAAAUUAUUGCCCCAACUUUUCCUCUGGAGAAAGAAAAGAAAAAACUAGAAAUAUUGCAGAAUUUAAAAAACUGCUGGGAAGAUUGUGUCCUUUAUCCAACUAUGUUUUUGAAGCCAACAUUAUUAACCAUCAACAUCAUUGUUGAAAUAGCUUCCAUAAAAGUUAAUAGUUUAGAAAUAAUAUCUGACAGUCAAAUGUCACGAUGUACAGAAGUGAUGAGGACCUCUGAAUCUUCUUUUCCAAGCUUGCCAAACCUUUCCUAUUGAAAGGAAACAUACAGAGAUGCACUGCCACGCAGGUACAUCAUUUUCCCUUUCAUCAAAACGUGUCAUAAACUGAGAUUCAUUGAAAUGUAUACCUGGACGUCGGUGUCUCUGUGAAUUAUAAAGUUCUAAGGUUAUUGCUUCAAAAAGAAUGAAGAAUGAGUUAAUUCUGAUCUUUGUAGCUGCAACUUUAAUUUUAUUUGAUGACUCAUUUCAUCAUGGAGGAUCAUAUGGAGUAUCAUUACACAUUUCAACAUUCAUAAAUUAUGUCUAACUUUGGAUCACUCCCUAAUAUGUUCUUGAUAUUUUUAGACAGUUGCCUUGUGAAACCCAGCAGCAAUACCAACAAUGAGUCAAGGCCAUGUAUUAUCAACCUUUGCCCUAACCCUGUCCUGACUGAGAUUUCAGAGUCAGAACCUGGGGAGUCUGAGUUCUUCUCAGCCCCAGCGGUAUUAUCCUCAGAACAAAUCAACUUGCUAUUAUAUGUAACAAGUAUGGGCUGCCAGUUAACGGAGGGAUGAAGGGAAACUGGAGACUUAUUCUAUGUCAUUGAAAAUCCAGUGGACUCAUCGUCUGGGAUUGGAAGUCCAGGUGACUGAUACCGGUGUUGCUGUCUAUUCAGGUAAAAUUUAGACCGAUUUUUGCUUUUUUCCUCCAUCUAACAAAAUCUAUGUGUCACACAACUCUGCAACUGUCAGUCUAUGAACAAAUGAUUCUAAAUGAAAUAGGGUGGUUUUACAAACAAUGAGAGUUCCAGAGGUACAAGUUAAGCUCAGAUUAUAGAGGAAGGAGUCUUAUUGAAAUGAAAGUAUUUAAAUAUGUCAGAAUUUUAUGAUUUUGCAGCAUGAUUUCCACUUUAAAGUGCUCAAAAUUUAUCUUAGGAAUAAAAAUGUAUUGUAUUUUGAUUUCUGUGUGAUUUAUUCCUGAAAUAAUCAUCUCAGAUAACUCCUUUAUGUUUCACAUGAGUCAUCCAAAUGACGUUAGUGAAAAUUAAAUUACUCUAAAAUGCAAAUUUAUUCAGGCAAUUAAUGAAUGCAUUCUGCUGUCUUUCAUAUUAAAUGAUGAUACAUUGAAUGAUAAAUAGGGUGUUUUUCUCUUGAGAUAUUAUAAUUUUUUCCUACAGUAACAUUUUUCAAAGUUUUUUUGUGGGAGUCUUGGCUUGAAGUGUCGCAUACUCUCUUUCUACUUUGCAGAUGCUAGCUACUUAAUGUUUACCUUCAUCUGUGGUCCAGACAGAAUCUAAAGUACUCAAUAAGUUUCAAGAAUCUGUUAAAUAGCCCCCUGUGACCUGCACAAAUGUUCAAGUCUUGUUCACAUGAAAUGAUGAGAUAAUUCUCAAAAUUUAGAAUAGUACUAAAUCAGGUAUUCUUUUUGAAAGUAUUUUUAUAAAAAAUCUAGAAUUUUUGAUCUUUCAAGAGAAAGCAAAGAGCAGACUAUUUGGAAAUAACAAUUUCUUUCCUUUCCUUUGCCAUUUACAAUGUUUGAAGGCUUUAACUCAUUUUGGGGAUGAGGCCCUUCUAAGCAGCGUCUAAUGGCUGCUCCUACUUUUACUUCUCACUCAGUUUACUACCCUGAUUAUCAAGUUCUGAAUAUCAAGAUUCUAGUCUGUAGUUCCUUGGCUCUGAGAUACAGUUUAAUGAAUUAUAAUGUUUUAAAAAUAACCUAGGGGAGAUGAAUGUGAUAUUAAUAAUGAAGAAAAAUGAUACAUUAUUGAAAAAUAUAAACACUACAUGUUUUUUGCAGCUGCUAUACCAUUCUUUUCAACCCUAUAGGAAUAAUCCCUGAUAGAAUAAAUUAACUAAUGUGCAUUUCUGUUUAAAACAUAAUUAUUUUUCUAUGUUAAGGAAAACUCAUGUGAAAAAUAUAUAUUUGACACUUGAGGGCUGAGGGCUUCCUGCUAGCAACACUCCUAGAAGUUGGUGAAGUAAAUAUUCUUUUUGACAAGGGAGAGGGAGAGGCAGAUGGGGAGACAGAGAGAGGGAGAGAGAGAGAGAGAGAGAGAGAGAGAGAAGAUUGUAGUCACAGGUUUACUCCCCAAAGGCCCUGAAAGUCCCCAAAGUUCCAGAAGCCUGGAAGUCGGUAUCUCAGUGUGGAUUUCCCACAUACUUGGCAGGGACCCAAGGACUUAGCCCCUCAGGAUGUGCAGUAGCCUGAAGCUGAACUGGAAGUGACAGGGCUGGGACUCAAACCAGACACUACAAUAUGGGGUGCAAGUGUACCACGCAGCGACUUGCAUGCUGCACCACUCACCUGCCCCAUAAUUUAUUCUUGAAGGUGGAUAGCAUUGUGGUACUACACAAUUGUCUAACAGACUUAACUCUUAAUUCAUUAAUAUGGCUCACAACCCCACUUAGUUUUAACCUAGUUUCCCUGAUUUACUUUCUUUUUUUUUUUUUUUUUAAUUUUUUGACAGGCAGAGUGGACAGUGAGAGAGAGAGAGAGAGAGAGAAAGGUCUUCCUUUGCCGUUGGUUCACCCUCCAA